rnacentral:rRNA from 1 species
AUUGAACGCUGGCGGCAGGCCUAACACAUGCAAGUCGAACGAGUGGCGGACGGGUGAGUAAUGUCUGGGAAACUGCCUGAUGGAGGGGGAUAACUACUGGAAACGGUAGCUAAUACCGCAUACCAUCGGAUGUGCCCAGAUGGGAUUAGCUAGUAGGUGGGGGAAAGGCGCACCUAGGCGACGAUCCCUAGCUGGUCUGAGAGGAUGAACAGCCACGUGUGAACUGGGACAGGGUCCAGAGUCCUACGGGAGGAAGCAGUGGGGAAUAGUGCAUAAUGGGCGCAAGUCUGGUUCAGCCAUGCCGCGGGUAUGAAGAAGGCCUUCGGGUUGUAAAGUACUUUCAGCGGGGAGGCGGUACCCGCAGAAGACGCACCGGCUAACUCCGUGCCAGCAGCCGCGGUAAUAC